GAUGAACGCUGGCGGUAUGCCUAACACAUGCAAGUCGUACGAGAGUUUUUAACUCUAGUGGCGGACGGGUGAGUAACACGUGAGAAUUUGCCUUUAGAGGGGGACAACAAUUGGAAACGAAUGCUAAUACCCCAUAUGCUUUCGAGUGAAAUGGAUUUUAUCCGCCUAGAGAGAAGCUCGCGGCUGAUUAGCUUGUUGGUAAGGUAAGAGCUUACCAAGGCGACGAUCAGUAUCNGGUUUGAGAGGACGAUCAGACACACUGGAACUGAGACACGGUCCAGACUCCUACGGGAGGCAGCAGUGGGGAAUUUUCCGCAAUGGGCGAAAGCCUGACGGAGCAAUACCGCGUGAGGGAAGAAUGCCUAUGGGUUGUAAACCUCUUUUUUCAGGGAGGAAUAAAAUGACGUGUACCUGAAGAAUAAGCAUCGGCUAACUCCGUG
rnacentral:rRNA from 1 species